UAAUUUUUUCAGAGAUAAACAAAUUCCCUGAAGAUUCCAGAUUUUCCAAGUUUUUCCAAGCAGUAGACAGCCUGUAGAAGUUAUGAUACGAAAUAUAGAAGCGAACCGUAAGGAGAACAUGAGAUAAACAAGCGCACAAACAACCUGCGCCGUAAAGUAAAAGUAUCUUCGCUGUUAAACCGCAAGCUGGAAAUCAGCUGGACCGAUUAUAAAUGAGACUGGAUGAUGAGUUGGAUUAUGCUUGUUGGAAAGAAAUUGUUUCUUUUCAACCAUUUGCUCGAGAGCCGUGCGGGCAUGGUAGACUCGAAAUUCUCUCGGGGAAUUUAUCAUUAAUUGCGGUUUGCGUGGUCUCGUAAAAGCACUCUCUGUCGUAUUCCGGCCGUAGAGGAAGAGCGUAAUAAAAGAAAGCGGAAAAAGAAAAGAAGGAGAACGACAUGACAUGCAAGAAGGGUGGAGAGGACUCGCGAUUGUGUACGCGUGUAUGUGUAUGCGCGAGUGUGUGCGAAGGGAAGAGAGAGAGAGAGAGAGAGAGAGAGAGAGAGAACGCGGUAUAGGGGCAGCUGAUCUAAACAUAGAGUACGCUCGAAAUAUAACGAGGCGCAACCUUAUAGCGAGGCAAGACAGAGGAGAAAAA